rnacentral:rRNA from 1 species
AUUGAACGCUGGCGGCAGGCCUAACACAUGCAAGUCGAGCGAGCGGCGGACGGGUGAGUAAUGUCUGGGAAACUGCCCGAUGGAGGGGGAUAACUACUGGAAACGGUAGCUAAUACCGCAUACCAUCAGAUGUGCCCAGAUGGGAUUAGCUAGUAGGUGGGGUAAAGGCUCACCUAGGCGACGAUCCCUAGCUGGUCUGAGAGGAUGACCAGCCCCACUGGCACUGUGACACUGUCCAGACUCCUACGGGAGGCAGCAGUGGGGAAUAUUGCCCAAUGGGUGCAAGCCUGAUGCAGCCAUGCCGCGUGUGUGAAGAAGGCCUUCGGGUUGUAAAGCACUUUCAGCUGGGAGGCGUUACCCGCAGAAGAAGCACCGGCUAACUCCGUGCCAGCAGCCGCGGUAAUAC